UAUCGUAACAAAAAAAUACAUUAAAAUUUUACUUAAAGUAUUUAAACGUUAGCUGGAAUCAUUAUAUUCAAAUUAAUACUUCUAUUUCACACAUAAAUUAUUUUGGCUUGGAUCAGGUCACUUGACACAAAAAUGUUCAUGAAAGAAAGCAGUAACCCCUUAUUAAAAUACUUCUAGCAGAAUUAAAAUGUAAAAAAGAGAUCUGGAAAUGUAAAAAAAUAGAUGUGACCGUUUAAACUUAAUGGUUGAAGUGUUGAGAAAAAUAUAAAAAAUUAAAAUUAGACCAAUAUAUGAGGAAAUAUUUGCCAUCAAUUGAUUUAAUAUAUCUUUCCCGUUUAGUUAAAAAUUGUUGAGAAAAAUAUAUGAACCAGAAAUUGGGCCAUAAUAUUGGGAAAUAUUUACAAUGAAUUUAUUUUAAAAAUACAUCGCUAUUGGAAGUAUUUUUGAAAAAUAAAAAUUUUCAAAAAUACUUCUAAUUGAUCACAAGAGGGUUAAAGACGCUAACAUAUAGUAGUAUAUAGGCGAAACUAAUUGUCAAGGACCUAAAUCCCCUGUGAAAUGUAUUAGUAAAAGCACAUAAAUAAACUCUAAAUAAAAAUGUAUUUUUUGACGUUAUUUUUGUGUGUGUUAUUAAUGGAAUUUUAUAUGCUAGUGAAUGAAAAUAUUAGUUAAUUAUUUUUGGAAAAGAUAUUUUAUCAUAAUACAUAUU